UCGAGGGGAAACGACAUCGAAAGCUUGCUUUUGAUGGGCGUCGACCGGCGCACGGGUGAGUAACGCGUAUCCAACCUGCCCACCACUUGGGGAUAACCUUGCGAAAGUAAGACUAAUACCCAAUGACGUCUCUAGAAGACAUCUGAAAGAGAUUAAAGAUUUAUCGGUGAUGGAUGGGGAUGCGUCUGAUUAGCUUGUUGGCGGGGUAACGGCCCACCAAGGCUACGAUGGAUAGGGGUUCUGAGAGAAAGGUCCCCACAUUGGAACUGAGACACGGUCCAAACUCC
rnacentral:rRNA from 1 species